CCUACGGGAGGCAGCAGUGAGGAAUAUUGGUCAAUGGACGAAAGUCUGAACCAGCCAAGUAGCGUGAAGGAUGACUGCCCUAUGGGUUGUAAACUUCUUUUAUACGGGAAUAAACCGAGGCACGUGUGCCGUUUUGCAUGUACUUUAUGAAUAAGGAUCGGCUAACUCCGUGCCAGCAGCCGCGGUAAUACGGAGGAUCCGAGCGUUAUCCGGAUUUAUUGGGUUUAAAGGGAGCGUAGAUGGGUUGUUAAGUCAGUUGUGAAAGUUUGUGGCUCAACCGUAGAAUUGCAACUGAAACUGGCAGUCUUGAGUACAGGUGAGGUAGGCGGAAUUCGUGGUGUAGCGGUGAAAUGCUUAGAUAUCACGAAGAACCCCGAUUGCGAAGGCAGCUUACUAAACUGUGACUGACGUUGAUGCUCGAAAGCGUGGGUAGCAAACAGGAUUAGAUACCCUUGUAGUC
rnacentral:rRNA from 1 species